rnacentral:rRNA from 1 species
UGAACGCUAGCGGCAGGCCUAACACAUGCAAGUCGAGGGGUAACGAUGUCUUCGGACAGGCGACGACCGGCGCACGGGUGAGUAUCGCGUUUGUAACCUACCUUUAACUGGAGAAUAGCCCGAAGAAAUUCGGAUUAAUACUCCAUAACACUAUGAACUGGCAUCUUUUUAUAGUUAAAGCUCCGGCGGUUAAAGAUGGGCAUGCGUAACAUUAGAUUGUUGGUGAGGUAACGGCUCACCAAGUCUACGAUGUUUAGGGGGUCUGAGAGGAUGGUCCCCCACACUGGUACUGAGACACGGACCAGACUCCUACGGGAGGCAGCAGUGAGGAAUAUUGGUCAAUGGGCGCAAGCCUGAACCAGCCAUGCCGCGUGAAGGAUGACAGCGCUACGCGUUGUAAACUUCUUUUGUACAGGAAGAAACACUUCUACGUGUAGAAGCUUGACGGUACUGUACGAAUAAGCAUCGGCUAACUCC